rnacentral:rRNA from 1 species
GACGAACGCUGGCGGCGUGCCUAAUACAUGCAAGUUGAGCGCUGAAGGUUGGUACUUGUACCGACUGGAUGUGCAGCGAACGGGUGAGUAACGCGUGGGGCCUCUGCCUUUGAGCGGGGGACAACAUUUGGACACGAAUGCUAAUACCGCAUAAACACUUUAAACACAAGUUUUAAGUUUGAAAGAUGCAAUUGCAUCACUCACGGAGGAUCGCGCGUUGUAUUAGCUAGUUGGUGAGGUAGUGGCUCAACAAGGCGAUGAUAGGUAGCCGACCUGAGAGGGUGACCGGCCACAUUGGGAAGGGGAUACGGCCGAGAGUACUAAGGGAGGAAGAAGUGGGGAAGAGUGAACAAUGGGCGGAAGCAGGAUGCAGCGACGCCGAGUGCGGGAUGACGGCAGUGGGGUUGUAAACCGCGUGAGCCUGUGAAGAAGCGUGAGUGACGGUAAUGGGUAAAGAAGCACCGGCUAACUACGUG